rnacentral:sRNA from 1 species
UUUUUUUUCCUUUUUUU